CCACAAUCCUCUUGAUCAGAGAUAAGCAUAAAGUACGUUUCUAUUUGUAUUCAAUUUGCUCGUCCGGAAAUUAAGGCGUGUCCUGGCUUUUCACAUGGAGCGUGUACUGGUCAUCUACUAAGACUAGCCCCCAGAAUAAUAAAUUCGGUUUUGCCAAUUCUAAUAACUAAAUCUCACUCAAUAACACGGUAUGAUUUUACACGAAGAUUGAUGCGGAUUUUUCUUUUUUUCUUUCUAUUCCCGUUUGAUUGUUUUACAACUUUUUGUUGUUCUGGCUAGCGAGUGUGCAACUAUAGUCGUGUGGUCGACUGGCGGAACUUGAAACAUCAUUUCUAUGUGGCCUUUGAAUUACGUGAUGAGCUCAUUGACAAGAAUGAGAAAAAAAUAUCCUUUAACAGGAGGUGAAGUGCUACAAACCAUUUUAAUUUUAAAAAACUACUGAUGAUAGAAGAUAUGCAUAAGCAACAUUUGGAAAUCAAACAUAAAAAAAACAUGAGUCACCAUGGCACAUCCUAUUACUUGUCAUUCCCAAUGAAUGGUAUUCUUGCCAGUUGAUUUAUGAUAGAAGUACAACUAAUGUAUUUUAUUGUGCUAUAUUAAUUUGAAUUUCCAAUUCUAUAAUUUUUGGUAUGUUAAUUUGCUAUUUUAGACUGAUCAUUUGCGUAUUUUCCAAAAAUAAAAAGUGCAACAAAGGUGUAUGAAAACAAGGGGAAGGAAAUAAAAGUGAAAAUAGAUAAAUAUAAACAUCAAAAUGUCAUAAUUCUACAUAAACACACUAAUAUAGCACAAGAAAAUACAUUCUGUGUACUAUGAACCUCCCUGAGACCAUAUGUUUAUCUAUCGGUCACUUUGAACAUACUGAAGAUGAUGCUCUUGCAUUUGUGAAGGCCAUUGGGCUAGUUACUAGAACCAAAAAAAGAAAGAGACCAAACGGGUAGAGCACACCAAUUAUAGUGAUCCAUGAUAUGCACCAAAGCAUGUACAACUUAGUUAAGAGCAUCUACAGCCGAGCGCCUCAAACCGGUCUCAAACGCCUGUGCCGUCAUCCCGGUCACUGGCCGGUCAAAAAAAGCCGACUACCCAGGCGCCUCAAACCGGCUUCAAACGCUUGGGCUAACCGUCACCCCUCAUAUGCAGCCCAAAUUUGGACGGAUAUGGGGCAGUCCGGGCGCGUUCACCACGUUGGACGGACGACCGGGUCCCACCCAUAAUCGCCCAUAAACCCAACGGUCCGACGGGCAUUUCCUCCGGUGGGGGUGUUAGUGCCACAUGGUGCCGCUUCGGCUCCCCGCCCGAGGGCCAAGGUCUCGCUAUUUAAGUCGUACAACGUCCCCCAGCCCUAGCCACAUCCGCUUCCUCCCUCCCCAUGCUGCCAGUCCGAGCCCAUCCACUUCUCUCCCUCUUCCCUUGUUGUGCGCCUCCGCCAUGGCCUAGCAUAAGAAGACCACCUAUGCUAUGCCGACACCGAAGCGGCGCUUCCAGAUGCUUGAAGAGAUCUUUGUUAGGCGCGCCGCCCGGAUCACAGCGGGCCUGCCUCCGGAUUCGCUGGAGCAGCAGCCAGAGCCCAUGGAGUAGGAGGAGGGGGAGGAGGAGGAGCCGAAGCCAGCUGCAGACUUUGCCAUGGAGGACACCAUGGCGGAGUUCGAGGUCACCCAAGCGGCGGAGAUGGCGUAGCAGACCGCUAUCCUGGAGUCCAUCCAGGACGAGGCGUAUGUCCAGGCCAGCCGGUGGUUCAUCCGACAAGUACGGGCGGCGAUCGACGCACUUCUCACCAAACUGGACACAGAGAAGGAGGCGGAGGCCGACGCGGAGGAGCUGCAGGGGCCGGAGCUACGGCUGUCGCCCAUGUACAUGGAGCCGGGCACGGAGAUCGUGCAUAGCUCCGACAAGGAGUAGGGUAGUGUAGGUUUUAGUUGAUGUAUGUAGUGUGUAGGUUUUUCUCUUUUGCAUGCUUUGUAUGGCUUUAAUGUUUUAAUUAUGGGGUAUUCGGAUGUACAUAACAAAAUUUGAGGGCUGCCCGUUCAAUGCCCACAUACGCGUCCGAGCAUGUCCGUGGGCGUUUGAGGACCCGAAGUUGGUGUCUAUGGCAGUAGAUGCUUAAGCGGCAUGCCGAUUAGUCAAAACUUAUGUAUAUAUGUGGAGAAAAAUUAAAUUGAUGCAUUCAAACAUAUGAGACCCGAAAAUUUUCUCUCGGGAUUCCUUGGUGCCAAUUAUAUCAUACCAAAUCCUUCUCCAUAUCCAUGCCAAUUAAGUACCCAAUAAAUUUGUACCGAUCCUCUUAAAACUGAAAAAGGGGAAAUAAUAAGUUCGAGUCUGCCAUUAUAAUAGAAGUAUGACUAAUGUAUUUUCUUGCAAUAUAUUAAUUUGAAUUUCCAGUUCUAUAGUUUUUGGUAUGUUAAUUUGUUGUUUUAGACCCUUCAUUUGCAUAUUUUCCAAGCUAAAAGGUGCAAUAAAAAAUGUGUAGGAAAACAGAAAAAGAGGAAAAACAAACUGAAAAUAAAAGCACAAAGGACAAAUAAACAACAAAAUGUCAUAAUUCUACCUAAACAGAUUAAUAUAGCACAAGAAAAUGCAUUCCGUGUAAUAUGAACCUCCCUGAGACCAUACAUUUUGCCAAACUUUCCUCUCAUUUGUUGUUUCAGACGUUUCAUUUGCGUAUUUUCCAAAAAUAAAACUUCAACAACAAGGUGUAGGAAAACACGGAAAGAAAGGAAAAACAAAAGUGAGAAUAGAUAAAUAAACAACAAAAUGUCAUAAUUCUACCUAAACAGAUUAAUAUAGCACAUGAAAAUGCAUUCCAUGUAAUAUGAUAUGAAUCUCCCUGAGACCAUACAUUUUGCCAAAUUUUCCUCUAAUUUGUUGUUUUAGACCCUUCAUUUGCAUAUUUUCCACAAAUAAAAGUGCAACAGCAAGGUGCAGGAAAACAGGAAAAAAGGGGAAAACAAAAGUGAAAUAGAUAAAUAAACAACAAAGUGUCAUAAUUCUACCUAAACACACUAAUAUAGCACAAGAAAAUACAUUCCGUGUAAUAUGAACCUCCCUGAGACCAUAUGUUUAUCCAUCGAUCAGUUUGAGCAUACUGAAGAUGAUGCUCUCGCAUUUGCGAAGGCCACUGGGCUAGUUACUGGCAUAGUAAAAAUAGAGACCAAAAGUGUCGAGCACACCAAGCAUAGUGAUCCAUGAUAUGCAGCAAAGCAUGUAACAACUAGUUAAGCAGGAUGCUGAUUAGUCAAAACCUAGGUGUAUACGUGAAGAAAAAUUAAAUUAUGGGACCCGAAAAUUUUCUCUGGGAUACCUUGGUGCCAAUUAUAGCAUAUACCAUAUACCAAAUCCUUCUCCAUAUCCAUGUCAAUUAAGUAGCCAAUAAAUUCCUACCGAUCCUCGUAAAACUGAAAAGGGGAAAUAAUAAGUUCCAGUCCGCCAUUAGGCAUCUGAUCAGAACCUACAUGACGACAUAAGUUGAAAACUCGAAACGUUAAAUCUACGAAUUAAGACGUGCAAAGCAUUGAGUGUGCAUGGACGGGUCCAGGGAAGAGUGAGAGAGAGGAUUGAGACGUGCCAAGAUUACUACGAAUUAAGUCCGUGAUCUCGACCACAUUAAACCCAGCGAGCCUGCUGUGAUCUCAUGCGAUCUUCUAAUUUGGCAAGUGAACUUGCAUUCCUCUCAGAUCAUCUCCGGCCUUGUAUAAGUAGGCACGCACAGAUCCCAUCCAAGAACUACUCAACUCGUGUGCCAAGAUACACAAAAACCAAACCGCGUCCAUGGACGCGGUGCAAGUCGGCAAUGAGGAGGUGCAGCCGGCACCGGCCCUGGAGCUAAACCUCCUCGGCGGUCUUGGCGCUGAGGCUGAGGAGACCGCCGUCGGCGCUGAGGAGACCGCCGUGCCAGAGGCGGAGAAGGGAAAGGCCAAAUCGAGUGAGGAGGCGGGGCCGUCGUCGAGCGAGAAGCGCCGCGUGUUCAAGUGCAACUACUGCCCGCGCAAGUUCUACACGUCGCAGGCGCUGGGCGGCCACCAGAACGCGCACAAGCGCGAGCGCUCCGUCGCCAAGGGCGUCGCUGCGGGGCGGGGCGCCGGCCAUGGCGGCGCACUCGUGCCGCACCACCUUCGCUUCCCCAACGUCUGGUCCUACUCCGCCACCGGCAGGUCGUUCCUCGGCGGCGCGGCGCCGUUCUACGGGAUGCACAUGCACCACAACCUCCCCGGGUGGGGCGCGGCGGCCCAGCCGUCCCUCGCCGGUCUCACCCGUCACGCCGGCACUGACCGCCCGACGUACCCGCGGGCGGAGGCCUACGGCUUUGGCGCAUCGCCCAGGGCCCCCAUCCCUGUGGCCUCCCCUCGCGCGCCGUCGAUGGCCGUGAUCCAGUGGGGUGGUGGCAGCGGCAGUGGUAGUGGCAAUGGCGGCGAUCAUAGCGUUGGUGAAGCGAAGCAAGAAGAGGAGGAGAUCGCCAACACGGUAGACUUGACUCUCAAGCUCUAGCUAGCUCCGUAGGGUCUGAUCAUUGCUCUGUUAGAACCUUAUAAGCUUCGGUCUUGUUGUUGACAACUGUGGUCAAUGCUAUCAGUCAUUUAAUUAGUUGUUGAUAGGAGAAGUUCAUUCAGUUCAUGGUCGCUUGGCUCUUAUGGAAGGAGCGCAACAACAGAAGUUUUGAAGUUAAGUUCUCGUCGGUUGACCGCUUAUUAGACCUCAUCAAAUCCACAGCGCAUGAUUGGUUUAAGGCUGGGGCCUUAUAUGUCUUAAAAAUCUGUUUGUUUAGGACUCUUAUCAUCUUGCUCUCAUGUUUUGUUUUUAUUGUAUCUCUAAGACAUUUGCACUCUUUUAUAAUACAAUUCUCUCUUGCAUGGUUCAGAAAUGGAAGUUCAUUAAUUGUUCUUUCUUAUAUUUGUUAGUGCAUGGUCAACUAGCUCGGCAGGGUUCUAGCAAGUAAAGAAUUACACUUCUGCUUGGGUAUACCUUCUAAACACAUCAACGAAUAAGAUAUUUCCACACCUCUUUAUAAUAAAGAAUAGAAUGGUCUUUUUUCAAAACGUGAUAUGCGACACGUGUACGCACUGCACUUAGGCAGCCCAUUUUCCAUUUUUCCCCCUCUUUUGUAAAACCUUAAAAAAAGUGCCAACAAGAUUCCAACCCAGCACCCUAUAUGCUUAGUAGUACAAGCUAAAUAACCAACUGGAUUAGUUUCUUGUUGUGUCUUGUUACAUUCUUUUUCUUCUUUAUUAAAUACUACCUUUGUCCAGGAUUAUUGGUCUCAUGAGCAAACUAUUAUUUGAAGCCGCUGGAUGUAUGCAUUUAAUUUUCUUUCUUCAAUUCCCUUUCGCUGCACGCGCGCAGGAUGAUGCCUGCGUUAUUAGUUGCAUACAAAAACUAAGCAAGCAACGAGCCCCAGACAAAAAUUGAUGCCAGCUGUCCACGUGCGCCAUGAUUGGCCGCAUGCAAAAGCAAAGCCUGGCCACCGGCUGCACGCCAUAAGAGCAAGUACAAUAAAACUGAGUCAGCGGGCUAUAAGAAAUAAACUAGUAUAUUCCUGCUUAGUUGGAGGAAAGAGAAGAGGAGAGAGAAGAUAAGUAGGCUCAUAAUAAAAAAGUAGUACAUUCUUUUAAUCUACUAUUGUACAUGUUGAUUAUAAGAUGGGCUGUAGAUGACAUGGCACUGGCUUAUAGCCAGCAGCUGGCUAUACUAUUAACCAUGCUCUAACUGCAGGUACUUUGGUUGGCCUUUUUCACACUCGAGUCACACACCGUUAGGUUAAAUCAUAGUACGUCGUCAGUAUAUUCCUUUUCUCAUGGCACCUGCGCUUCUCCCAGCGGGAGGGAUUAGGGGAGGAAGGUUUACAUGGGGAUGUAUUUGGUGCACCGGGGCAAUUGGUGCUACCUGUGCACCGGUCCCCGUUGCACGUUAAAAAAUAUUUGAAAAAACAGGAUUUUUUUAGUGCAUUGGAAUAACACCAAUGUAUAUUGACACAAAAAUUCAAAUCAAAACUCCAAAAUUUCUCGACAUACACAAAUUUGACACUGAAUAGUGCAAAACACAUGUUGGGUUUCAGUUUUGGCCCAUUAGCACAUUGAUGUUAAAUUUGACAUUUUUGUAUCUCGGGUAAUGUUUUGAAUUUUGAGUUGAAUUUUUGUGACAACAUACACGAUUUUGUGUCAAUACACUAAAUUAUUUCCGAAUAAUUUUGAACAAUUUUGUAAUGCGCAACUUGGUCCAGUGCACUGAUAGCAUUAUUUGCCCCGGUGCACCAGAUCCGUUCUGUGGUUUAUGUAGCCUCUUCGUAGUCCUUCGUAGGUGUAGGAUUAUUGUAAUACCAAUAACCGACAUGAGCUUGUUUUUUUAUUUGUUGACUUUUCUUCUGUUUUUUAUUUUUUAUUUUUCCAUUUCCUUUUUAUUUUAUUUUUUAAAAUUCAAAAACUAUUUUAAAUCAUGUUUUUUUCUGAAAUCUAUAAACUUUUCAAAUUCAUCAACAUUUUGUUAAAUUCGUGAACUUUAUUUUCAAAAUCGUGAGCUUUUUUCAAAUCUGUGGUUUAUUUUUUUAAAUCCACAAGCUCUCUUGAACUUUUCUUUCAAAUUUCUGAACAUUUUCUUUUCAAAAGUGAUGAACUUUUUGAAAAUAUGUGAACACUUGGGCCGGCCCAACACCCGUGCGGCGGGAAUGAUGCAGUCGCCUAGUUGGGCCAAGGCACACGUGAAUCCACAUCAUUUAUUUAAAUGGUUGCCCGGUUGGAUCAACAAUUUAAUGAACAUGUUCUAUUUGGAUUUGGAAACAGUUCAAUCCCACAAUCCUCUUGACCAGAGAUAAGCAUAAAGUACGUUUUUAUUUGAAUUCAAUUUGCUCGUCCGAAACUUAAGGCGUGCCCUGGCUUUUCACAUGGAGCAUGUACUGGUCAUCUAGUAAGACUAGCCACCAGAAUAAUAAAUUCGGUUUUGCCAAUUCUAAUAACUAGAUCUCACUCAAUAACACAGUAUGAUUUUACACGAAGAUUGAUACAGAUUUUUCUUUUUUUCUUUCUUUUUCUGUUUGAUUGUUUUACAAUUUUU
rnacentral:lncRNA from 1 species